GACGAACGCUGGCGGCGUGCUUAACACAUGCAAGUCGAACGAAGUGGCGAACGGGUGAGUAACGCGUAAUCAACCUGCCCUUCCGAGGGGGACAACAGUUGGAAACGACUGCUAAUACCGCAUACGGAAGGAGGGGAUUGCGUCUGAUUAGCUAGUUGGGGGGGUAACGGCCCACCCAGGCGAUGGUCAGUAGCCGGUCUGAGAGGAUGAACGGGCACAACGGGACUGAGACACGGCCCAGACCUCUACGGGAGGCAGCAGUGGGGAAUCUUCCGCAAUGGACGAAAGUCUGACUGAGCAACGCCGCGUGGUGGAUGACGGCCUUCGGGUUGUAAAGCUCUGUUAAUCGGGACGCGGUACCGGAAUAGAAAGCCACGGCUAACUACGUGCCAGCAGCCGCGGUAAUUC
rnacentral:rRNA from 1 species